UUGGCUUUACCCGAAGCCGGUGCGCUAACCGCAAGGAGGCAGCCAACCACGGUAGGCUCAGCGACUGGGGUGAAGUCGUAACAAGGUAGCCGUAGGUGAACCUGCAGAAGGAUCA
rnacentral:rRNA from 1 species